UGAGGAAUAUUGGACAAUGGGCGCAAAGCCUGAUCCAGCCAUGCCGCGUGCAGGAUGAAGCAUCUAUGGUGUGUAAACUGCUUUUGUACGGGAAGAAACAGAGGUUCUUGAACCUCUUUGACGGUACCGUAAGAAUAAAUGAUCGGCUAACUCCGCUGC
rnacentral:rRNA from 1 species